CGGGGGGAGCAAGCGUUGUUCGGAUUUACUGGGCGUAAAGGGCGCGUAGGCGGCCUCCGCAAGUCAGUCGUGAAAUCUCCGAGCUUAACUCGGAAAGGUCAACUGAUACUGCGGGGCUAGAGUGCGGAAGGGGCAACUGGAAUUCUUGGUGUAGCGGUGAAAUGCGUAGAUAUCAAGAGGAACACCUGCGGCGAAGGCGGGUUGCUGGGCCGACACUGACGCUGAGGCGCGAAAGCUAGGGGAGCGAACGGGAUUAGAUACCCCGGUAGUCCUAGCCUUAAACGAUGAAUGCUUGGUGUCUGGGGUUAUAUAGUCCCCGGGUGCCGUCGCUAACGCUUUAAGCAUUCCGCCUGGGGAGUACGGUCGCAAGACUG
rnacentral:rRNA from 1 species